CCUACGGGUGGCAGCAGUCGAGAAUCAUUCACAAUGGGGGAAACCCUGAUGGUGCGACGCCGCGUGGGGGAUUGAAGGUCUUCGGAUUGUAAACCCCUGUCAUGUGGGAGCAAAUUAAAAAGAUAGUACCACAAGAGGAAGAGACGGCUAACUCUGUGCCAGCAGCCGCGGUAAUACAGAGGUCUCAAGCGUUGUUCGGAAUCACGGGGCGUAAAGCGUGCGUAGGCGGUUUCGUAAGUCGUGUGUGAAAGGCGGGGGCUCAACCCGCGGACGGCACAUGAUACUGCGAGACUAGAGUAAUGGAGGGGGAAACGGAAUGCGCGGUGUAGCAGUGAAAUGCGUAGAUAUCGGGAGGAACACUCGUGGCGAAGGCGGGUUCCUGGACAGUAACUGACGCUGAGGCACGAAGGCCGGGGGAGCGAAAGGGAUUAGAUACCCGGGUAGUC
rnacentral:rRNA from 1 species